rnacentral:rRNA from 1 species
GAUGAACGCUGGCGGCGUGCCUAAUACAUGCAAGUCGAGCGAACAGACGAGGAGCUUGCUCCUCUGACGUUAGCGGCGGACGGGUGAGUAACACGUGGAUAACCUACCUAUAAGACUGGGAUAACUUCGGGAAACCGGAGCUAAUACCGGAUAAUAUAUUGAACCGCAUGGUUCAAUAGUGAAAGACGGUUUUGCUGUCACUUAUAGAUGGAUCCGCGCCGCAUUAGCUAGUUGGUAAGGUAACGGCUUACCAAGGCAACGAUGCGUAGCCGACCUGAGAGGGUGAUCGACCACACUGUAACUGAGACACGUUCCAGACUCCUACGAGAGGCACCAGUAGGAGAUCUUCCGCAAUGGGCGAAAGCUUGACGUGGCAACGCCGCUUGAGUGAUGGAAGUCUUCGGAUCGUAAGACUCUGUUAUUAGGGGAGAGCAAAUGUGUAAGUAACUGUGCACGUCUUGACGGUACCUAAUCAGAAAGCCACGGCUAACUACGUG